GGGUUGUGAGGUUAAGCGACUAAGCGUACACGGUGGAUGCCCUGGCAGUCAGAGGCGAUGAAGGGCGUGCUAAUCUGCGAUAAGCGCCGGUAAGGUGAUAUGAACCGUUAUAACCGGCGAUACCCGAAUGGGGAAACCCAGUGUGAUUCGUCACACUAUCAUUAACUGAAUCCAUAGGUUAAUGAGGCGAACCGGGGGAACUGAAACAUCUAAGUACCCCGAGGAAAAGAAAUCAACCGAGAUUCCCCCAGUAGCGGCGAGCGAACGGGGAGGAGCCCAGAGCCUGAAUCAGCAUGUGUGUUAGUGGAAGCGUCUGGAAAGGCGCGCGAUACAGGGUGACAGCCCCGUACACAAAAGCGCAUAUGCUGUGAGCUCGAUGAGUAGGGCGGGACACGUGGUAUCCUGUCUGAAUAUGGGGGGACCAUCCUCCAAGGCUAAAUACUCCUGACUGACCGAUAGUGAACCAGUACCGUGAGGGAAAGGCGAAAAGAACCCCGGCGAGGGGAGUGAAAAAGAACCUGAAACCGUGUACGUACAAGCAGUGGGAGCCCCACCACUAAGCCAGUGGUGAACUCCACAUACGCAUCCUUUGCUGAGGAUACGGUUAACGGAGCGAAAGCGACGUUCAACCUCAAAAGAAGCAGAGGGGGCUUAGUGGUGGGGUGACUGCGUACCUUUUGUAUAAUGGGUCAGCGACUUAUAUUCUGUAGCAAGGUUAACCGAAUAGGGGAGCCGCAGGGAAACCGAGUCUUAAU
rnacentral:rRNA from 1 species